GACGAACGCUGGCGGCGUGCCUAAUACAUGCAAGUAGAACGCUGAAGGAGGAGCUUGCUUCUCCGGAUGAGUUGCGAACGGGUGUGUAACGCGUAGGUAACCUGCCUGGUAGCGGGGGAUAACUAUUGGAACCGAUAGCUAAUACCGCAUAACAGUAGAUAUCGCAUGAUAUCUGCUUGAAAGGUGCAAUUGCAUCACUACCAGAUGGACCUGCGUUGUAUUAGCUAGUUGGUGAGGUAACGGCUCACCAAGGCGACGAUACAUAGCCGACCUGAGAGGGUGAUCGGCCACACUGGGACUGAGACACGGCCCAGACUCCUACGGGAGGCAGCAGUAGGGAAUCUUCGGCAAUGGACGGAAGUCUGACCGAGCAACGCCGCGUGAGUGAAGAAGGUUUUCGGAUCGUAAAGCUCUGUUGUAAGAGAAGAACGAGUGUGAGAGUGGAAAGUUCACACUGUGACGGUAUCUUACCAGAAAGGGACGGCUAACUACGUG
rnacentral:rRNA from 1 species